AUGUCAGUUGUCAACAUGCCGCUGGUUAAGCCACUCCUGAAUCAAUUUUUGUAUGGGUAAAACAUGCCAGGGACCCUAUAUGGCAGGAUUAAUAUCUUUUCUUGAUUUCUUUUGUUGCUGCUCUGCCACAAUCUCCUGUUCAAGGAAGUACCUUGCCAAGCUGGCAUGUCCUGGCCGUUGUAGGUAAGAGAAUUGACUUCUGAUGAACUUUCUUCUUCUUAUCCUCUUUCAUUUAGAUAGUUAUAUUGUGAAACACUUGCCAACGAAGCUCUCUGUCAACUAUUAGAGUAUUGACGGUUUCUGUCAUAAAUCUGAAUGUUUUUGUGGGCAAUUGGUUUGUAAAAGCAAUGGUACGUGACAACUACUAAAGCAUUGAGUGUCGUUGCUGUUGCACUUUCUAUAAGUAUGGGGAUUGAUUUUCUGUCAAUUGUGCGUUACAACUAACAACUACUAAAUUUCAACGCCCUUUUUUUGACAUUUUUUGGUUAAAUAUAAUGGCGUGUGAAAUAAUUGGUUCUAUCAAUUAGUAGUAAUCAUGGCAUUGUUGGGUAAUAUAGCAGUUAUUCUUUGCAUUGAUAUUGACGUCAACACAAAGGAACUCUCACAUGUGUUUGCUUUUUCUCCAACAAGGAAAUAAUGUGUGCGUACAUAUCCACUGGAACGUUACCCGCGCUCCGUACUCGGCUCCAGCGAUAUAGUUUAACGGCGAGACACACUUAUCUAACAAAGUGCUCACAACUUCCCAGCAAAUGUUGCUCACUGAGUGCCUCCUCCAUUCAACGAGGAAAAGUUGACUGCUUGAGAAAAAGAAGCUGUGAGUUCCCCACAUCUACUGAACAUCGUUUUGGUUACUUCGUUUCUCUUCCUGCAGUUUUUGCAUGGGCUGCAGAUGUACAUUCGAUUAGUUUUUUUUGAAUGGUCACCGGGGGGAGAGCUUCCCCACCUUAAUAUAUUACCACUCAAAAUAGGAGUCGAGAAUUACAACAGCAGUUCAGUUACAACAUCAACUUCAGGGAAUGGCUGAAGAGAGGAAGUUAAGCCAUUGCCUAGCAUAGAUAUUGUCUUCUUCUUUUUUGAACCGGAAAACCCAGAGGGAGAAAUCUGCUACAAUGUUUUGUAUCGUAGUUCUGUGGGAGUGAUCCUCGUUUCUGAACACGAGAGCGUUUCUCGAGUCCCAUAGCUUCCAUGCAACAGUCCAGAGCCACAGAUGGCCAGAUGUUGGGGUUGAGGCCCAGAAUCGUUGGGUGUUGGUGUAGAGCAACAAGGGAGGUUGGAGACGGCAGACCCAAGGAGGACCAAACCUGUGUCGCAUAAGAACAGUUGGAGAUGAGGUGGAGGGCAUCCUCAUAUGGGUCUUGACAACGAGGACAUGUAGCCGAUUGAGCAAUGUGCUUGUGAAACAUGUUGGCUUUCGUGUUUAGCCGAUCACGGAGGAGAAGCCAUGCGAAGAUCUUAACCUUGAUCAGAACCUUGGAGGCCCAGACAAAGUCAUGAUGAGGGUUGGAUGAAUCUUCAGCAACAAUGGAGGAGUAGGCAUUCUUGGCAGAGAACGGUAGUCCAUGGGUGAGGGACCGUUCGUCGGAUCGGUCCACCUGCUGGAAAUCCUGCAACAACAACAGCACACAAUCCAACUCGCGAGCAGCAGCAUUAGACAGACGGUUCCGCAGGUUCGCCAAUAAGAUGUUUUGUCAAACUGUAGCCACUAAAACCUUGUCAUCAAUGGAGUGUGAGUAAAGGUUUGGGAAAACUUUUUGGAGAGGCGACUGUAAAAGCCAUUUAUCAAGCCAGAAAAAGGUGGAGAGGCCAUUGUAGGUGAUCACAAAUGAGUGCUCAAUGAGCAGUGGCAAGUUUUUGUUGAUAAUUUUCCAAAGAAAGGAGGGUCUUGAAGUUUUUGCUGCGAUGCCAAGAGGGUAUUGGUGGUGAUACCACUGGGUCCAAGGGACGUUUGGGUGUUGCAGAAUCUUGAAUGAGAAUUUCAUAAGCAAGCAGCGGUUGUGAACUUCUAGAUUUUUAAUUCCUAGACCACCAAUGUCUUUCCGUUUGCAAAUGUUUUUCCACGUGACUAAGCAGCUCGCACCCGUGCAAGUUGCCUCGUUGGACCAGAAGAACGCCCUACGAAUGGCGUCAAGUUUAGCUACGAUCGACUAAGGUAGGCGAAAGACUGACAUGAAAUAAAUUGUUAAUGAGUCUAGGACCGCAGUCAGCAGUGUGAGGCGAGCACCACGUGAGAGCAGGCACGCAACCCAACCGAAGAGGAAUUUCCGAAAGCUGUCUAUGAUCGGGUCGAAAGCUGUGAGUGGCAGUUUGGUAGGGGAGAGGGGAAGACCUAGGUAGAUUAAUGGAAAGGAGGAUAAAGAACAUCCAAUAGAUGCAGCGAUGUUGUUUUGAGUGGAUGAGUUAGUGGCGAUGGUGAGAAGUGCCGUUUUUUGGAAGUUGACAACCAGCCCCGUUGCAAGGGCAAAAUCGUGUAGUGUUUUUUUGAGAGUUAUGGUGGCGGCGUCGCUAGCAGCAACAAUUAUCAGGGUAUCAUCAGCGUAUUGAAGUGUCAUGGGUGGUUCGUUUGGUCGGAGCGGGUGGCAAAGUACGUUCGUUUGGAAAGCGCUGGAGGUCAGUCUUUGAAGAACGUCUGCAACAAUGAUGACCAAGUAUGGCGAGAAUGGAUCCCCUUGGCGGAGGCCACAUCUACAUUGGAUCCAGGACCCCAGAAUGCCAUUUAGGAGGAUAGCCGUUUUCCCAGUGAGCAGGAUGUUUUGAACCCAUGAACAGAAAAUUGGAGGGAACCCUCUAGCUUGUAGGAUUUCGAUGAGGGAGGACCAGCAAAUGGAGUCAAAAGCUUUCCUGAAGUUGAGCUUGAAGACCAUGGUCGGGGCUUUACAUGUGUGGCAAGCACUUAGGAUAUCAGCAGCAUAAAUGAAAUUUUCUGCAAUGUUGCGUCCAUGUAGGAAGCCCGUUUGAUCAUAAUGAAUGAGCAGCGGGAUGAGUGGUUUUAGUCUAUUUGUAAGGACUUUGGCCACUGCUUUUGGAGUGCAGUUUUGAAGAGAGAUGGGUCUAAAAGCAUCUGGAGAUGUUGGCGCCAGGGUUUUUGGGAGGAGUACCAUGAAGGCACGGUUGAAGCGUUCAAGCGAAGCAGUCUGAUCGUGGAAGGCAGAGAAGAACGGUAGGAUGGAUUGUUUGAUAUCAUUCCAAAAUUUUCUAAAGAAGAUGGGUCCAAAGCCAUCCGGUCCAGGGCUGGCUUUUGCAUUCAUGGUGAGAAAGGCUUGGUGGAUUUCGUCGUGGGAGAAGGGUUGUGCAAGAUCAGAGAGCUGGGGGAGGGGCAAGGGGUAUAGCUGUAGCAGACUAAAGUUCCAGGUAGCAUUUUUGUGGUCCCGAUUAGUUAUUGGAAAUAAGUUUUUAAGAUGUCAGCUUUCUGUUCGUGCAGGAAAACUUCAGAGGAGUUGUGUAUAAGCAUGGGAAUUUUGUUUGUUCGAGAUCGCUGUGUAGCAGUGGCGUGAAAGAAUCUAGUAUUUUCGUCUCCAUCAAUGGCAACCCUGAUCUUACCCCUCUGUUUCCAGAAGGCGAUUUCUUGUUUGAUGGCAUGUUGUAGUAGGUUAGAAAUCGUAAGCCUAAGUUUCUGUUCGAGAGGGGAGAGAGGAGUGAAUUCCUCAUUUAGGUCAAGAGCCUGGAUUGCCAGUUUGCAAUUUGUUUCCCGUUGGUAGAUGGGCUGCAGCGUCUUGGCCCAAGAUUUUAGGGCCGAUCGUGUUUUUUUGAUACUUUGAGCGAGAGAAGCAGCUGGAUACGCGGGCGGCCAUUGUGGUUCAGUGAAUUGGGCCGCCAGCUGUCGCGCACAAUGUUUCUACAGGCUUGGAAUGAAGUCCAGAAGCGUUCAAAUCUAAAAAGGCGGGAAGAAGGGACGGGCGUGGAUAUAGUGACCAGGAGUGGAACGUCAUCAGAAGCGAAUCUAGUAAGAGAGGUUUGGUGCGAGUUGGGAAAAAGAGCAUCCCAAUAUAGGUUGAUAAGUACCCUAUCUAGACGUAUUAGCGUAGGUGACAAUCUUUUAUUUGACCAAGUAAAUUGUCUAUCAAGAAGUGGGAGCUCUAAGAGAGCAAGUUGAUCAAUGGUGUCAUUGAAGGCGUCGGCCUCCGAUCUUCGGAAAUUGUUGUUGUUUCUCUCAUUAGGGAAUCGAGUAAGGUUAAAAUCUCUGACGAGGAGCCAGGGUGAUUGAGUUGGAGGUUCGAUCUGUUUUAGUUCGUCUAGGAAUUCUAGCUUUAGAUCUCAUUGCGAGGGGGCGUAGACGUUAGUGAUAAAGAUGUUGUGUGGCGAGGCAAGGUAUGAGAGAGUUAAGGUAGAUGUGAAACGGCUAUGUUGACAAUUGAGUAGCAAAAAGCAGCGUGAGUUAUUAGCUGAGAGAAUUCCACCCGCAGAUCCGAUUGCGUCGAGGUGGUUGUUAGAGUCUAGGAAUCGUGGCAAGAACGAUCGUAGUUUGAUUGUAUCUGGUUUUUGCAGUUUGGUUUCUUGGAGCAGGGCGAUUGAUGGGCGCAAGUGAUUGAUUUCAGAGAACACAUUGGCACACUUGUCAUUAUCUCCUAACCCGCGAACAUUCCAGGACACGAUAGAGUAUGUUUCCUUUUUCAUAAUGGAAACUUAACUUGGCACCUUACAUAGGGGUAGCUACCCAAAAGACAACCAUUUCGGUUCUGGAUACAUUGAGACCAACUGACAGAAGUAGGAGUGAGCAGCAUUACAACUAGCAUAACCUCAACAUAACAGCUACGGGGCGGUGCGAUGCACCGGAUACAUGGCUAGCAAUGGCCGCCACAUGAGUGGCCUAUGAGGAGAGAGCACAUCAUGGCGAUCCCAGGCCACCGGAGCCCGAUGCGAUGUCCUCCACCAUCCCAGGCAUGGCGCCGCAGGCAGCAGCAAUGGCAGCAAGGUCCUCAGGCGAGGCCAGACCGCGAGCAGAGUCGUCGAUGAACCCAGUCUCAUCGCAGAGACGAGCGUGGAUGAGAGCGUCAGAGAGAUCCUUCGAUGCAGCGGAUAGAUUGAGCUUCUUAGCCUUGGUGCGCAUGGCCUUAGCGGUCAUGGAGGAGUAGAUAGGCGGCUCGAUUUCAGCCAGACGAGCGCUGCGCCUGGCCUUGAUGCCGGAGUCGGCAACCAUCUUGGCACGCCUGCUAAUGCGCCUGGCCAGACACUCGUGCGUAGGCUUAGGAGGCAGGUCCAUAGGCUGGGCGGCAGGAUCCAUAGGCAAGGGAGGCGCCGGAGGGGCAGGUGGGGAGGGUGGAGGAGACGGUGUAGGUGGCAGAGGAGGCGGAGAGGGGGGAGCUGGCAGGGCGAGCAGGGGGCGGGCAUGGCGCGAUCGUGCAAGCUUCCGGGCUGGAGAGGGAGAGUGUAUGGGAGGAGUCCAGGGAGCAUGGACAAGCAUGGCGACAGGCAUGCCGUCAGCCAUGACAGCAAGGAUCGGGAUGCAAUCCAGAGGCAUAUCCGCGGAAGGAGAUGGAGGAGGGCCCGAGGGCGACUCCGGCAUGCAUGCGGGGACAUGGUUGUGGCAAUGUUGCGGAUCUGUGUAAUGGUGGUGGGUGAUAGACGUGGGUUGGAUAACUGGGAGGAGAGGGAGCCAUUGUCCCCGUCCUCAGAGGACAAAGGUGAGGCCCCAAAGCCAUGUCGGAAGAGCGCGUGGCUCUCCAAUUUGACAACGGCGACAUCGUUGUCUGGCAGGCGCACCAUGAGGCAGGAGGGAAGGAUGAAGUCACGGGCUACCAUGACGAGAGCGCGAACACUAGAGUGAUCGCCUGGAAACAGUGCUGGUCGGCGGAGACGAAAUCUCCAAGCUGAGAGAAAAGGUACUCUGCCCCCUCAGGGUGCCAGAGCUCGUCGGGGUAAUCGAGCGCCUCGAUCUCGGCCAUGUGGAUGAAGAUGGCCGUGGAUCUGUUAUCAGCGUGUUCUGGCCGUUCGAAGAAGAGGGUAUUGCCCUCGUGGUGGAUCGGGCCGUGGCCAGUGGCCGCGAGGCGCUCCUCUGCGCUAGCAAAGGAGAGACGCGCGGCGCCGCGUGCGGAGGAAGUGAGGCAGAAGGUGGGGUUGUUGCGGUGGUGGGCGAUAGCCUGACGUAUGAACCGGAAGGGAUUGUGCAUGGGAGUGGCUAGGUGUACGUAGGCUAGGUUGUCAACUUGGCGAACUAGGCAGCUUGGAGGGACGAGGAGAGGGAUGUGCGGCUCCAGGGGAGAGAACCAUGAGGCCGAGGUGGGUGUGGUGGCGGGGGAAGGGGGAGGAGGUAGGGCGAAGGACGGCACCGAAGGCGAGGAUAAGGAGGUGCACGACCCGAAGAUGAGCGGGAAACGGAAGGGGGGCAGGUCAUUGGUGAGAACACAGUGGGAGUCGAACCAGAUUGGCGUGCCGUUGGAACGCCUGGAACCAGCCGACGAGCCGGAAGCGGUGUGGGUGCCAGUCGUGUGCGCCAUUGAGCUGCAUGGCGGACGCACAAAAGCUGGGUUAGUACGCGGGGAAGGGGGCAUAGUAGGGAAAAAGGAAGGUAGCGAAUGGCCUUGCACCUGAAGCUCCGAUGGCCGGAGCACCAGCAACGAGAGCACCGGACGGGGUCGCGGCAGUUAGCGAUGGUGUGGUCACUAGCAAGGCACCGAAAGCAUCUAGUCUUCUUCUUGCGGCUGUAAUGGUGGUGGAUGUGUUUAAGGCUGGCCAUCUGGGGAGGGGUGGAUUUAUAGGCCAGAGGGGUCGAUGGGUUGGAGAGGGUAGAUGCAAAGACCCGAGGCGGGGAGCUUAGCAAAACCUCCCAGUAGCUGCGCGGGUCUUGCCGCGGCGUGGAGACCGAAGAGCUCGCAGGGCUGGUAGCAGUGGCAGUGGCGUGGCACUGGUUAAUGGUGGUCUCGGGAUGGAGCUGAGGGGAUGGGGCGGAGAGUAGGCUGACGAAGGUAGGGGAGGCAGGUGGUAGAGUAGACGCGAUGACGGGCGCAUGCGUGUGCAUGCAAGCGUUGGUUUUAUCAUGCGGUGAGGAUGGACGGGAGGGGGCUGGUGGGUCCCAUGAUUCAAUGAUUGUAGGGUAUGAUUUAGAGUGAGAAUUGGCAUCUGGGGGAGCGAGCUGGCCCAGCAGCCGACCAGUGGGCGGCUGUGGUGACACAGGUGGGGCCAAGCCGGCAGUGAUAUGUGACGGAUAGCGAGGGAGCGGGCCGUCCAUGGCCGUAUCAUUUAAAAAACUAGGUUGGUCGAUGGAGGGUACAACGCAACCAUCGCCACGGUCUUGUUUUCUUUCUGUAGAAAGGAUGCAGGCAGACGCGACGGGGGAGGCCGAGAUGGAUAAGAGGCACACGUGUCCCAGGCCAUCGAGUGCAUUGCGGUCAACCGAGGCAGCGCCAGGGGAAUCCACGCAUGGAACAAUGUGGUGGAUCUCAGUGGACAGGUGAGAGAGAUCUUGCGCUAAUACUUUAGUCGAUGGGUGCGGUCCAAGCAAGGACGUGUAGUGGAUAGGCAGGACGGGUGCAUUCGGGUCAAUGGAGUCCGGUUCAUACACAAUUUGAAGCGGUACCGAUCGCACUAUUUGAGAUGCUUGGUCAAACGAGUCAAAGAGCUGAAGUUCAAAUUUUGAAAACUGUAUGGGCGCGCCAUGGAGGACUUCAGUUUGUACGUUGACCGAGAAGACAUGCACUAGAAACAAGUUCGGAGCAAGCGUGACCGCGUGGAAGACACUUUGGAAAGAAAACUGGUGGUCUAAAGCAUUAUUAAUUAGAGUUUCAUUAGUGCAAACUGACUUAGAGAAGAAAACGACCCAUAUUGGAGUGGUGGGUUUAUGAGAUAGACAUGUGGUGGGUGCGGUGACAAGGCAGUGGUACUUAGAGAAAAUCAGCUUAUUGAACGAAAUGCCAGGUCGGAACGGUCGUACCUUUGCAAGCGAUCGCUGUGGGGUGAGGGCGGUGGAAGUCGCAGGCUUCCCAGAUGGCAGCCGACCAUUGACAAUGGCGGGUCCCACCUGCAUGAAGGGCAUGCACGAGGGGGAGCGUGGGGGCUCGACGACGACGAUGCAAGACAGUACCGCCGAUGCCCGGCGCGGCGAAGGCGCCCGUUCGGCCGGCAUUGCCGGCGUGUCAUGUGGCGCCACCGUGAUGGUGGCGAACAUGCGAGGAGCCACAAUUGGAGAGCAGGCCGCCAUGAGCGUGGCGAUGUGAUGAGAGGAGACCGGCGCAGCAAAGGCUACGUUUGAGAGGCGCUCAACGGAGAUAGAACGUGCAGCGCCACCAAAGCGGAACGAGAGGAGCAUGGCCACCAGAGUUUCGUCGACCAUGAAGUCAGCUUUGUGGAUGAAGAAGAUGAUUUUGGUUGGCAAGGCCGAGGCAAGUGGCGUUAUAAAAACUUUGGAUGAGAACAGAUCAAGGAUGUUGCACACGAAGUCGACACCAAGCGAGGGGAAGAACCCAAGCUGAGAGCGCAGGAAUGCAUCGGCGUGGCCAAAGCGGUCACCGAUGUCGACUUCUGUUUUUUGGUGGAUGGAUGGCUGAUGUGUGAGUGAGGACGGCGGUGGAAAUGAAAGAAAUUGGACGGAGUGUGUUGUGGCAACGAGUAUGGGCUCGGCGAUGAGAGCUCGAAUGAUGCGCAUGUCAGAGACAGUGAUACGAAAGAGCUGCUCGUGGAGGCGAGUCACCUGGAAGGCGGGAGCGUUGCCACCCAAGCAGGCUUGCAUGAGGACGGCCACAAGUUCUUCGUCGAGGUCGAGCGAGGAAUGGUGAACAUGCACGGAGAGGAAGCACGGAGGCUCGUGGCGGCGCGGGUUGAUGUGCUUGGAGAGGCACCGCCAUACCUGCGCCUGGAAGUCGUCGCCCAUGGCGUCGCCAACUCUGAGCGCAGCCCGUAGGGCCUUGGCGGUAGCGGAAUCCUUCCAUGGAAUGGGGUCAUGCAAGGUGUCCGACACCGGAUAUGAGAGAGGGGAAAUGACGGCGGCGGCCGAAGCAGUGGCGAGGGGGGUGGAUGGGGCCGGGGCACCGAAGGGGAGCGGGGUGGAGAGGGGAGCCAUCGUGCUAGUUGAAACUGACUGACAUUCGAUUAGUUGUACUCAGGAAUGUUUUAGAAAAUAAUUCGCAAUAACAUGGAUGUCAGAUUUAUCAACUACUGUCGCUCUUUGUUUUGAAGGAUUUGAUUAUGGGAGUUUUAGUAUGCCCAUACCACGUAUAAUAGAUGUAGACAUCAUUGUCGCUUCCUUAUUUUAUGUGAUUCAGAUAUUUUAAAACCUUAUCUGUACCAUUGAAUUAUGUAAUUAUGUAGGUUGCCCGAUAUGUUCAUCGAUGCUGUGGACAACGAUUUUGAUUAUCGUUUCCCAUAUGUAUCUAAUUAGGUUUGCAAUUACACUUUGUUUUAUUUAUCAUCUGUAUCUAGAAAAUCAGAUUGUGAAGCUUACAAUUUAUUAGUUUUUCUGCGAUUUCCCUUUAUUUUGCUGAUAGUCCACUACUCAGGAUUAUAAGAGCCAUCAUCUUUGUGAGCAUUUUCCCUUCAGGUGUUGCAAGGUGUUAGUAUGGUUCUACAGAGAAAGAUGCACAACAUGCCUAAUUUUGUACUUACCUUGCAGUUCUGUGGAUCUACUACAAUUAUAUGAUGUCCUCAAAUUAGACCUUUGCAAGCAUGACUAGAUAUCAGCAUAUAUAUAUGCAGCACACCUUUGGUUCAAUCGUACAUUCAUAGUAGUUUGAUGUACUACGUUUUGGUUGGCAGAGAGGAUUCUUAUGGUGACA
rnacentral:lncRNA from 1 species